rnacentral:rRNA from 1 species
CGGCGAGUGAAGCGGCAACAGCUCAAAUUUGAAAUCUGGCCCCCAGGGCCCGAGUUGUAAUUUGCAGAGGAUGCUUUUGGCGCGGUGCCUUCCGAGUUCCCUGGAACGGGACGCCAUAGAGGGUGAGAGCCCCGUCUGGUCGGACACCAAGCCAGUGUAAAGCUCCUUCGACGAGUCGAGUAGUUUGGGAAUGCUGCUCUAAAUGGGAGGUAUAUGUCUUCUAAAGCUAAAUACCGGCCAGAGACCGAUAGCGCACAAGUAGAGUGAUCGAAAGAUGAAAAGCACUUUGAAAAGAGGGUUAAACAGUACGUGAAAUUGUUGAAAGGGAAGCGUUUAUGACCAGACUUGGGCCCGGUGAAUCAUCCAGCGUUCUCGCUGGUGCACUUUGCCGGGCUCAGGCCAGCAUCAGUUCGUCGCGGGGGAUAAAAGCUUCGGGAACGUGGCUCCCUCGGGAGUGUUAUAGCCCGUUGCAUAAUACCCUGCGGUGGACUGAGGUUCGCGCUCCGCAAGGAUGCUGGCGUAAUGGUCAUCAGCGACCCGUCUUGAAACACGGACCAAGGAGUCGUCUUCGUAUGCGAGUGUUCGGGUGUAAAACCCCUACGCGUAAUGAAAGUGAACGCAGGUGAGAGCUUCGGCGCAUCAUCGACCGAUCCUGAUGUUCUCGGAUGGAUUUGAGUAAGAGCAUACGGGGCCGGACCCGAAAGAAGGUGAACUAUGCCUGUAUAGGGUGAAGCCAGAGGAAACUCUGGUGGAGGCUCGCAGCGGUUCUGACGUGCAAAUCGAUCGUCAAAUAUGGGCAUGGGGGCGAAAGACUAAUCGAACCUU